UACGGAGGAUCCAAGCGUUAUCCGGAAUCAUUGGGUUUAAAGGGUCCGUAGGCGGUUUGGUAAGUCAGUGGUGAAAGCCCAUCGCUCAACGGUGGAACGGCCAUUGAUACUGCCAGACUUGAAUUAUUAGGAAGUAACUAGAAUAUGUAGUGUAGCGGUGAAAUGCUUAGAGAUUACAUGGAAAUACCAAUUGCGAAGGCAGGUUACUACUAAUGGAUUGACACUGAGGCACGAAAGCUGGGGGAGCAAACAGG
rnacentral:rRNA from 1 species